CACUCGUAUCUAGUGUAGGAAGCGUGCAAAGUUACAUCUUUAUAAGAUAUGAUGCGUGAGAGCUGUAGGGAAUGCGUUGGAGAUCAAACUCUGUAAAAUCC
rnacentral:sRNA from 1 species